GACGAACGCUGGCGGCGUGCUUAACACAUGCGAGUCGAACGGAAAGGCCUGCUUUCCCUUGUGGUUUGCGGGUACUCGAGUGGCGAACGGGUGAGUAACACGUGAGUGAUCUGCCCCCAACUUGGGUAUAAGGCUGGGAAACUGGGUCUAAUUCCCGAUAGGACUGCAGGGUGGUGCCUGUGGUGGAAAACGAUGUUCUAGUGGUUGGGGAUGAGCUCGCGGCCUAUCAGCUUGUUGGUGGGGUAAUGGCCUACCAAGGCGGCGACGGGUAGCCGGCCUGAGAGGGUGGACGGCCACAUUGGGACUGAGAUACAGCCCAGACUCCUACGGGAGGCAGCAGUGUGGAAUAUUGCACAAGGGGCGGAAGCCUGAUGCAGCGACGCCGCGGGGGAGAUGACGGCCUUCGGGUUGUAAACUCCUUUCGACCGCGAGGAAGCCACCUGGUUGGAAGGGUGGUGACGGUAGUGGUAGAAGAAGCACCGGCUAACUACGUG
rnacentral:rRNA from 1 species